GAUGAACGCUGGCGGCGUGCCUAAUACAUGCAAGUCGAGCGGACAGAUGAGGCGCUUGCUCCUCUGACGUUAGCGGCGGACGGGUGAGACACACGUGGAUACCCUCCCUAUCAGACUGGGAUCACUUCGGGAAACCGGCGCUAAUACCGUAUAAUAUAUUGCACCGUAUGGUUCAAUAGUGAGAGUCGGUUUUUCUGUCUCUUCUCGCUGCAUCUGCGCCGCAUUAGCUAGUUGGUAAGGUAACGGGUUAUCAAGGCAACGAUGCGUAGCCGACCUGAUAGAGUGAUCGGCCGCACUGGAGGGUGGACGGCGUCCAGACUCCUACGGUAGGCAGCAGAAGGGAAUCUUCCGCAAUGGGCGGAAGCCUGACGGAGCAAGGCGGCGUGAGUGGUAGAGGUGUUCGGAGCGUGAAACUCUGUUAUGAGGGAAGAACAAAUGUGUAAGUAACUAUGCACGGCUUGACGGUAACGAAUCAGAAAGCCACGGCUAACUACGUG
rnacentral:rRNA from 1 species